rnacentral:rRNA from 1 species
UACGAAGGGGGCUAGCGUUGCUCGGAAUCACUGGGCGUAAAGCGCACGUAGGCGGCUUUUUAAGUCAGGGGUGAAAUCCUGGAGCUCAACUCCAGAACUGCCUUUGAUACUGAGAAGCUUGAGUCCGGGAGAGGUGAGUGGAACUGCGAGUGUAGAGGUGAAAUUCGUAGAUAUCGGGAGGAACACCGGUGGCGAAGGCGGCGAUCUGGGUAGAUACUGACGCUGAGGUGCGAAAGCGUGGGGAGCAAACAGG